AUAUCUUUGUAGAGUCAAGGUAAUAUACUGUUCUUUCAGGCAGUAUAUGUAAGGGAAUCCGGUGUAAAUCCGGAGCUGUUCCUGCAGCCGUAAUUUCCUGACAAUUCAUUUGCCGAUUGUGGGUGCCACUGUGGUCGCUAUAUCAUGGGAAGGCGGGCGAAUGAAGGGAAAGAGUCGGAAGACCUGCCGCAGACAAACACUUAAA
rnacentral:ncRNA from 1 species